UACGUAUGGAGCAAGCGUUAUCCGGAUUUACUGGGCGUAAAGGGAGCGUAGGCGGCCUGCCAAGUCUGAUGUGAAAUCCUAUGGCUUAACCAUAGAACUGCAUUUGAAACUGUUAUUCUAGAGUAUGGGAGAGGUAGGUGGAAUUCUUGGUGUAGGGGUAAAAUCCGUAGAGAUCAAGAGGAAUACUCAUUGCGAAGGCGACCUGCUAGAACAUAACUGACGCUGAUGCGCGAAAGCGUGGGGAGCAAAAAGG
rnacentral:rRNA from 1 species